rnacentral:rRNA from 1 species
UACGUAGGGUGCGGGCGUUGUCCGGAAUUACUGGGCGUAAAGAGCUCGUAGGUGGUUUGUCGCGUUGUUCGUGAAAACUCACAGCUUAACUGUGGGCGUGCGGGCGAUACGGGCAGACUGGAGUACUGCAGGGGAGACUGGAAUUCCUGGUGUAGCGGUGGAAUGCGCAGAUAUCAGGAGGAACACCGGUGGCGAAGGCGGGUCUCUGGGACGGUACUGACGCUGAGACGCGAAAGCGUGGGGAGCGAACAGG